rnacentral:rRNA from 1 species
UACGUAGGGGGCAAGCGUUGUCCGGAAUCAUUGGGCGUAAAGCGCGCGUAGGCGGCCCGGUAAGUCCGUUGUGAAAGUCAAAGGCUCAACCUUUGAAUGCCGAUGGAUACUGCCGGGCUAGAGUCCGGAAGAGGCGAGUGGAAUUCCUGGUGUAGCGGUGAAAUGCGCAGAUAUCAGGAGGAACACCGGUGGCGAAGGCGGGUCUCUGGGCCGAUACUGACGCUGAGGAGCGAAAGCGUGGGGAGCGAACAGG